rnacentral:rRNA from 1 species
CCUACGGGUGGCAGCAGUGGGGAAUAUUGGGCAAUGGGCGCAAGCCUGACCCAGCAACGCCGCGUGAAGGAAGAAGGCUUUCGGGUUGUAAACUUCUUUUCUCAGGGACGAAGAAAGUGACGGUACCUGAGGAAUAAGCCACGGCUAACUACGUGCCAGCAGCCGCGGUAAUACGUAGGUGGCAAGUGUUAUCCGGAUUUACUGGGUGUAAAGGGCGGGUAGGCGGGAAAGCAAGUCAGAUGUGAAAACCAUGGGCUCAACCUGUGGCCUGCAUUUGAAACUGUUUGUCUUGAGUACUGGAGAGGCAGACGGAAUUCCUAGUGUAGCGGUGAAAUGCGUAGAUAUUAGGAGGAACACCAGUGGCGAAGGCGGUCUGCUGGACAGCAACUGACGCUGAGGCGCGAAAGCGUGGGGAGCAAACAGGAUUAGAUACCCCUGUAGUC